rnacentral:lncRNA from 1 species
GAUGAGGACAUCCCAAGUAAUGAUACAACCACAGCCCCUACAGCACCUACACCUCAAGUACCGGAGAUACAUGGACCAAUUACUAGAGGUCGUGCACGACAACUAAAUUAUCAGGUACUUUCGUUCCUCGGUACUUCAUUUAAUAUUAAUGAGAAUAUGCUGCCGCCUAAGAUGGGUUCUUUUACGUGUUUUAGGAAUGAAGGACCUAGCUUGGACCUCAAGGAUCAGCGUUGGACAGCAAACCAUGGAGGUGGCAGCAAGGUGGCGGGAGUUAGCUCAAGUGUUGAUUUCAGAACAUUGAAACCGCCAUAAAGAGAUGAGAAGAAGGCUGCAUCCUCUUCAUCAAUGGGAUUUCGGCCAAGUGGAGGAUUCCCCCUCCAAUGGGUAUCUAUGGGCCAAAGAUGAGAGUUAUAACCUUGUUUUAUUGGGCCUAAGGCCAUGUAAUAGGGUCCAGCCAAUUUUUAGAUGUUUUCGUUGUGUUUUAGGAGGAUUCCUAGGCCGUUUCGGAGUCCCACAAGGGCCUGGCCGAAAACCACCUAGUUCCCCUCCUAUUUAUACCCCAUGAGCCCCCCUAUGGAGCCUGGGGUUUUGAUUAGAUAAAGUUUAGCCUUUGCUACUUUCGUGUAAUCGCGUGUGUCGGUUAGACCACCUGUUUUACCGUCAUCAAGACUCCAACUAUAUUGAGUAUUCAGAUUCGUGAACCUUCAUAUCUCCUAUUCGCAAUUUCAGAUUGCUUUUCAUCUUGUUCUUGCUUGUUCUUCGAUUGCUUGCAGGAACAAAGACCUUCGUGGUCAGGUUGAUCGUGCCCCCGCGGAAUCAAUAACCUUCUGGAGUUGGUGUAUCGAUCACUAAGGCGCUGCCUCCUAGGUUGUAGUCGGAUCGUCAACGUCACCUCCUACCAAAUCUAUAAUUAGGUAUCUCAUCGAAAGAUCGGGACACCCUCGAGGAUAUCACGUGGUAUUAGAGCUUAAGGUUGUUCGGUGAGAUUUUUCCAGUUUAUCCGUAGUUUAGAUCUGUUUUUACCUAUCGUCCAGAAAAAGCCAAACAAAAAUUAGAAUUAGUUACCUUGUCCUAGAACCAAUCUGAGCCUUGCAAUUUUCACAUUAGUAUUUGCAUUGUUGAAUCUUUGCUGCAUUAAUCGUGUCGAGUUGCUGGAUUAGAUUGGAUCGUUUUUCAGAUUUUUUUCUACUAGAUCGAACUUUCUUUUGGUUUUCUUGUUCUUCGUAUGACGCAGGUUUCCUUCAUCAAUCUUCCGCCGCCAAACUUCCUGCCACACCAUCGUCAUAAUCUUCCGCCGCCACCAUAUCUUCCACCGAGUCCCUCUUCGAGUCCUACACCGAGUCCCUCGUCGAGUCCUACAUUGAGUCGGCAAGUUAUAGUUUUCAGCCGCGAGUUCAAAUCCGAGUCCAAUCAAGAGUGCUUUUGGAAAGUGUUUCAUAAUAGAUCAAAUUUUGUUUAGAGAUCAAGUUGUUCAGAAAGUUGUGAAAAAAAAAAGAAGGGAAAGAAAAAAAAAAGGAAGAAAGAAAGAAAAAAAACGAAAAAAAAAGAGAAAGAGUUCGAGUCAGUUUCGGACCCGAGUCCGAGUAGAAUUUUAGUUUCGGGUGGGUUUGACCCGUGUUCAGUAAAACGGACGUAUCGUUUGCAUACCAACUCGGAUUUGGACGUUCUUAGACUUUUUGGAAAGCUCACGACGAAGCGCAUCAGGAAAUAUCCAGCGCAUCGCCCUGCACUUUGACCCUCAAAUUCGGCCUCUAAGGUGGACUUUUCGAGCUCCAAAGUUUCUGCACCCAUUUUACGGCACCGGGGCAGCGCAGUAUAUCUCAGUUUUCUCUACCGUCCGACCUCCGUUUUUAGUGAUCUUGCACUUGUUGGAAAGCUUGUUUUGAUACGCUUCUAACCCAUAUUUUCUCAUAUUUUUCUGAGUUUUCCUUACUACAGCCUUUGGUAUUCUCCUACAGACCGACGUGCAGCUUUCCGGUCUUAACUUCUUUUGCGUGAGUUUCUGGGGAUAAAAAAAAAGAAUAAGAAGCCAAACAGAUGGCCACAAAAAGAAAAAAAAAGAGAAAAAAAUAUUCCCCAGAGAUUUACUUGUUUUACCUUUCAUUUGAUCUUUCCUUUCUACCUUUUUCAGUAUCUAGGCUUAGUUAAUUUCUGUAAUUCAUUCUUGUCGACUCCAACAACUAGGACUAGCAUUUUUGAGUAUAUUUUCAACUUUGCAUUGCUGAUUUGAUUAUUCGCUUUUCCUUGCUACUCACAUAAACCUCCAAGCUCCACAGAUUCUACACCUAGGUUGGUUUGCCUCGAGGCAUCGAUACACUAAUCUUCGGAGGGCUUGUUCUCAUCGCUGGCCAUCACCUUCCUGUUUGUUGGGUAAGAACGAGUAAGAACUUGAUUAAAAGUUGAGUGGAGUGAUCUUUGGAACCCCACAUCCUAGUAGUGCAUAGGGACUUUUCGUUGUGAUUUGUUUCUUGUUUUCUCCUAACGAUGGCAGGUUCUGACGAUGAUUUUUGCAAGGCCACUCUCCACGCACAAAGGGCAUUAUUUCACAUUUUGAUCGCAAGCUUAGGCUCCGUAACGAGGAGCUGGAUGAGGACGUUCGGGUUGCGAAUGAGAGACUUGGAACCUUGGAGAGCGCGCACAUUGAAACAAAUACCAAGCUAACAUCUUUACAGAAUUCUGUUGCUACCAUUAGUACUUCUCUGGCAGAAAUCACGACGCAACUGGCGGCAAUUGCUGCAACGACCAUCGCUACACCGGGAGGAAACAAUACACACAACCAGCGGACCGCUAAUAACGGUACCUUCGCAAGCGAGGUUGAGGAGAACGACGACGACUACUCCGCGGAUACGGAACACGACGGGGCCGUAAACCAUCACAACGACUGUGAUCAUCGCCGAACUCGUUUCAACCACCGAGGUAUGGGACCGACACGACCUCACAGAGAGGAACAUGACUUGCUGCAUUCUAUUAAACUUAAGGUUCCUCCUUUUGAUGGAAAAUAUGACCCUGAUGCUUACCUUACUAUUUGCGUGACUUGUUAAAGAAACUACAACAAUUAAGGCAAGGUAGUAAUUCUGUCCAAGAUUAUUAUCAAGAAAUGCAAAAGAACAUGUUACGUUGUGGUUUAGUUGAGAAUGAGGAAGCUGCUAUGGCUAGAUUCUUUGGUGGUUUAAAUCGUGAAAUUGCUGACAUUGUUGAUUAUAAGGAGUAUAAUUCUAUCAAUCGAUUGUUUCACAUUGCUUGCAAAGCUGAAAGGGAAGUGCAAGGACGACACGUGAACGCGCGGACUAACUUUUCUGCAGGUCGUACUUCCUCAUGGGCAGCACGCAGCCCCGCUGCCCCUUCCACACUCCCAGCUGCACCCCCUACACGUUCGGCUGUUCCGACUACUUCCACCAACAAGCAAAGUACCUAUACACCUACAUCCGCAAAGGUUGGACCAGCAGCAACAAGAAAUACACCCGCUGCCUCUGCACAAAGUUCAGUAGCGUCCGUUGCUUCCACCGGACGGACCGGAGAUAACCAAUGUCGUAGGUGCAAAGGAUACGGGCAUUUUCAGCGGGACUGUCCAACCAAACGCGUUAUGAUCAUACGUGAAGACGGAGUAUAUGAUUCAGCCAGUGAUUUUGACGAAGCUACCUAUGCUCUCAUUGCCGAGAAAGAGCAAGAAGACCCCGCUGCCCACCAUGACGAGGAGUUAAUGGGAGCUGAAGCCGCUGAUCAGUACUUGAGUUUGAUUGCACAACGCACCUUGAGCGUCCAAAUGAGCCACGCCGAACAAAAUCAGCGGCAUAACUUGUUCCAAACAAAAGGGGUCAUCAAGGAGCGCGCUGUUCGUAUCAUCAUAGAUGGGGGAAGUUGCAAUAAUUUGGCCAGCACGGAGAUGGUGGAAAAACUUGUUCUUACCACCAGGCCGCACCCCCACCCUUACUACAUUCAAUGGUUUAACAACAGCGGUAAGCUCAAGGUAACUAGAACAGUCCGUGCACACUUUACUAUUGGUACAUAUUCUGAUUUUGUGGAUUGUGAUGUGGUACCUAUGCAAGCAUGUUCUAUGUUACUCGGUCGUCCAUGGCAAUAUGAUACAGAUUCUGUUCAUCAUGGUAGAACUAAUCAUUAUUCUUUUAUGCAUGCUGGUAAGAAAAUUGGUUUGAAACCUAUGACUCCUGAACAAAUUGUGAAAGAUGAUCUUGCUAGAGCUAGUAGAGCAAAGAGCAAAAAGAAGGAUAAGAGUGAGAACCAUAAUGUCGCUAAAGAAUUUAAGCACCAAACGUCUACUAGCAAAUCUGAACCGAAACAUGUUAAUGAAAUUAAAUUGAAAGGUGCAUGCUUGCUUGCAAGUAAAUCUGAUAUUUCUGAGUUAGAUACGAAUAAUUCUGUUUGCUAUGCAUUCAUUUGCAAAGAGGCUUUGUUUUCAUUUGAGGAUAUGCCUCCCUCUUUGCCCCCUGCUGUUACUCACGUUUUGCAGGAGUAUUCCGACAUCUUUCCACAAGACGUACCACCAGGAUUACCACCUAUUCGAGGGAUUGAACAUCAAAUUGAUUUAAUUCCUGGUGCUUCGCUGCCCAACCGUGCACCCUACCGUACCAAUCCAGAGGAGACGAAGGAGAUUCAACGACAAGUUCAAGAAUUGCUCGACAAAGGUUAUAUUCGUGAAUCCCUUAGUCCUUGUGCUGUUCCUGUUAUUUUGGUACCAAAGAAAGAUGGUUCUUGGCGUAUGUGUGUAGAUUGUUGAGCUAUUAAUAACAUUACUAUUCGCUAUCGUCACCCAAUUCCUAGACUUGAUGAUAUGUUAGAUGAAUUAAGUGGCUCUACCGUGUUCUCUAAAGUUGAUUUACGUAGUGGUUACCACCAAAUUCGAAUGAAAUUAGGCGAUGAAUGGAAAACAGCAUUUAAAACUAAGUUUGGACUAUAUGAGUGGUUAGUCAUGCCUUUCGGUCUUACUAACGCACCUAGCACUUUCAUGCGGUUAAUGAACGAAGUUUUACGUGCUUUCAUAGGACGAUUUGUGGUGGUUUAUUUUGAUGAUAUAUUGAUUUACAGCAGCUCUUUAGAAGACCACUUGAAUCAUUUACGUGCUGUUUUUGAUGCUUUGAGAGAUGCACGUUUGUUUGGUAACCUUGAGAAGUGCACCUUUUGCACCGAUCGAGUUUCGUUUCUUGGCUAUGUUGUCACUCCACAGGGCAUAGAAGUUGAUAAGGCCAAGAUCGACGCUAUUCAAAGCUGGCCAACUCCAACAACGGUCACCCAAGUGAGGAGCUUUCUUGGACUCGCUGGGUUUUAUCGCCGCUUUGUAAAGGAUUUCAGCACCCUUGCUGCACCGCUUAAUGAGCUCACAAAGAAGGACGUUCCAUAUGUAUGAGGUGCUGCACAAGAAGAAGUUUUUCUCAUAUUGAAAGAUAAGUUGACACAUGCUCCUUUACUCCAACUUCCUGAUUUUAAUAAGACUUUUGAGUUGGAGUGUGAUGCUAGUGGAAUCGGUUUAGGAGGUGUGUUGUUACAAGAUGGAAAACCUGUUGCAUACUUUAGUGAAAAAUUGAGUGGGCCUAGUCUGAAUUAUUCUACUUAUGAUAAGGAAUUAUAUGCUCUCGUUCGGACUUUAGAAACAUGGCAACAUUAUUUAUGGCCCAAAGAAUUUGUUAUACAUUCUGAUCAUGAAUCUUUGAAGCAUAUUCCUAGUCAAGCAAAGCUGAACCGUCGUCAUGCUAAAUGGGUUGAAUUUAUUGAGUCUUUUCCGUAUGUUAUUAAACAUAAGAAGGGUAAAGAUAAUGUUAUUGCUGAUGCGUUAUCACGUCGUUAUACCUUGUUAUCUCAGCUUGAUUUUCGGAUAUUUGGAUUGGAGACUAUAAAAGAACAAUAUGAACAUGAUGCAGAUUUUAAGGAUGUUUUGCAGCAUUGUAAAGAGGGCAGAACAUGGAACAAGUUCGUCAUUAAUGAUGGAUUUGUGUUCCGUGCUAACAAGCUAUGCAUCCCAGAUAGCUCCGUUCGUCUUUUGUUGUUACAGGAGGCACAUGGAGGAGGGUUGAUGGGUCACUUCGGCGUGAAGAAGACCGAAGAUGUGCUCGCUGAGCAUUUCUUUUGGCCUCGGAUGACACGGGAUGUUGAGAGAUUUAUCGCUUGCUGCACUACAUGUCAAAAAGCUAAGUCACGACUCAAUCCUCAUGGUUUAUAUAUGCCUCUCCCUGUUCCUAAUGUUCCUUGGGAAGAUAUAUCAAUGGAUUUUGUUUUGGGAUUGCCUCAAACUAAAAAGGGGAGGGAUAGCAUAUUUGUUGUUGUUGAUAGAUUUUCUAAGAUGGCACAUUUUAUAGCUUGUCAUAAGAGCGAUGAUGCUACAAAUGUUGCUGAUUUAUUCUUUCGUGAAAUUGUUCGCUUGCAUGGUGUGCCCAAUACUAUAGUUUCAGAUCGUGACACAAAAUUUUUUAGCCACUUUUGGAGAUGUUUAUGGGCUAAGUUGGGGACUAAAUUGCUUUUUAGUACUACAUGUCAUCCCCAAACAGAUGGACAAACUGAAGUUGUUAAUAGAACAUUAUCUACUAUGCUUAGGGCUGUUUUAAAGAAGAACUUGAAAAUGUGGGAAGAAUGUUUACCUCAUAUUGAAUUUGCUUAUAAUCGUUCACUGCAUUCAACCACAAAAUUGUGCCCUUUUGAAAUUGUUUAUGGUUUUAUACCUCGUGCACCAAUUGAUUUGUUACCUUUGCCAACUUCUGAAAAAGUUAACUUUGAUGCUAAGGAACGUGCUGAACUUAUAAUAAAAAUGCAUGAGACGACUAAAGAGAACAUUGAGCGCAUGAAUUCUAAGUAUAAACUUGCGGGAGAUAGGGGCAGAAAACAAAUUGUGUUUGAACCUGGAGAUCUUGUUUGGUUGCAUUUGCGCAAAGAUCGUUUCCCUGAUUUGCGCAAGUCUAAGUUAAUGCCACGAGCUGAUGGUCCCUUUAAGGUCUUAGCGAAAAUUAAUGAUAAUGCAUAUAAACUUGAGCUACCUGCAGAUUUUGGGGUUAGUCCCACGUUUAAUAUUGCAGAUUUGAAGCCUUAUUUGGGAGAAGAAGAUGAACUACCGUCGAGGGCGACUUCGAUUCAAGAAGGGGAGGAUGAUGAGGACAUCCCAAGUAAUGAUACAACCACAGCCCCUACAGCACCUACACCUCAAGUACCAGAGAUACAUGGACCAAUUACUAGAGGUCGUGCACGACAACUAAAUUAUCAGGUGCUUUCGUUCCUCGGUACUUCAUUUAAUAUUAGUGAGAAUAUGCUGCUGCCUAAGAUGGUUUCUUUUACGUGUUUUAGGAAUGAAGGACCUAGCUUGGACCUCAAGGAUCAGCGUUGGACAGCAAACCAUGGAGGUGGCAGCAAGGUGGCGGGAGUUAGCUCAAGUGUUGAUUUCAGAACAUUAAAACCGCCAUAAAGAGAUGAGAAAAAGGCCGCAUUCUCUUCAUCAAUGGGAUUUCGGCCAAGUGAAGGAUUCCCCCUCCAAUGGGUAUCUAUGGGCCAAAGAUGAGGGUUAUAACCUUGUUUUAUUGGGCUUAAGGCCAUGUAAUAGGGUCCAGCCAAUUUUUAGAUGUUUUCGUUGUGUUUUAGGAGGAUUCCUAGGCCGUUUCGGAGUUCCACAAGGGCCUGGCCGAAAACCACCUAGUUCCCCUCCUAUUUAUACUCCAUGAGCCCCCCUUUGGAGCCUGGGGUUUUGAUUAGAUAAAGUUUAGCCUUUGCUACUUUCGUGUAAUCGCGUGUGUCGGUUAGACCACCUGUUUUACCGUCAUCAAGACUCCAACUAUAUUGAGUAUUCAGAUUCGUGAACCUUCAUAUCUCCUAUUCGCAAUUUCAGAUUGCUUUUCAUCUUGUUCUUGCUUGUUCUUCGAUUGCUUGCAGGAACAAAGACCUUCGUGGUCAGGUUGAUCGUGCCCCCGCAGGAUCAAUAACCUUCUGGAGUUGGUGUAUCGAUCGCUAAGGCAAGAUCGGGACACCCUCGAGGCUAUCAUGUGCCCCUCCCUUCCUCUCCAGGCCGCGAUGUGCCCCUCCCCUGCCCCAUGGCGCCGCCACGACCUGCCCCUCCCCUCCUCUCCAGACCGCCGUGACCUGCCAAACGAGGACGGGGACGAACCUGUUGACGCGGGUGGUGGCGGGAGGAAGAAUCUGGGAGCGAUGGUUGCUGAUAUCAUGUGUAACUAAGUAUGUUGUCAACAGAUUCUUAGAGUAUGCGGUUCAUAUCAGAAAUGUCAAGAUGAUGAAACUUGAGGUAAUUCCUAUGAUGCGCGGCCAUGUAAAUACUUUCAUUCAGUUUUCUCAAUAGAAUGUGCUCUCCUGCCUCGCAAUUUUCAUUAUAUUUUAGAAUGUGCAGUUCUCCUUCCUCGCAUUUGAAAAUUAUAUUUUUUUUUUAUGGUUUGUUCUUCACUUUGAUAUUGUUAUUAGUCUUACAAUCGUACCUUUUACUGCCUGGUCCCCAUGCAGAGAAAUUCUACCGACUGUGCCUUGUUUACCCUUUAUAAUAUGCAGCAAUUUAUUAAGGAAGUCAAUGUUAAGUUUGAAAUGGAAGACUGCCAUCAGGUUUGUGUCUUGUGUGCUCGGUGCUCGACAGCUUUCAGAGCAUUCUUUUCUUUUAAGGCCCUCGACUGCAGCACAGCUGUAGUAUCUGAACUCACGCCCAUUACACACGCCACACGCACACCACACACACACACUACCCCUAGUGCGCAAGGUAGAACUACAAUCUAUACUUAAUAUCCGUACAAUAGAUUCCCAAAGUCACCUGACUCUGUCGGCAACGGGUACGUUGCAAUACCACUUAGUCGCAGGCGAGAUUGGGGCCAAACUAGGUGAGACGCGCGAAAUUCAGUCCCUAGGACUUGAACUCGUGCGGCCGGCCGCUCCACUGCGUGCCAAGCCACUGCGCUAAGGCGCAGUUCUCCUUUCAGAGUAUUCUUUUUUUUCCGAUGAAAGGAGCCUCACUCCCGGUUUUAUUAAAGAAACCAAAGUGUGUGACAAAAUCUUGUUUUUGGCUGCCAACCACAUGAAAAUUUAACCUUUAAAGGAAGCUGCCUGUGAGAUUCGCAGCUCACAGAGGGUUCUAUCUGCUUGUGCUUUCUGAGUCCUUGGCCUGAAUUUCGACUCCCUGAAGUCGCCUACGCAGAAAUUCAAGUUCAUUCAAAGCUCUGUCCAAGACGGUGGCACUUUGUGCAGCUCUUGGUUGCCCUGCAGCAAAAGCCUCAUCCGGGCUCGACUCCUUCGAAGUCGACACUUUUUCAGUCAUCAUACCACCAACAGGGGGAGUCGAUGUUUCUUUCUGCUUCUGCACAACAAGUGUUGUAUUAGGAAGAUUUUCAUUGGGCAACAGAAGGAUUCGAAGGCAUCAUAUCGAACAAGAGGUAUCAAGUUUCGAUUCAUAAAAAGUUUUAGAGUUCACAUUGAUAACGCUCGAACGUAUGCAAGCUUUCUGCCGAUUUGAUUUCCUUGUUACCCCGAUGCGAGCCUUCCGCUCCAGCUGCCUCCGAGGCUUCUUCAUCUGUGAGAAGAUUUGGUAAAUAUACAAGCGGAGGCAGGCUUUCUGUGCUAGCAUCAAUUGUGAUUAGACCGCGGGGAUUGCGCUGUGAUCGAGGGGAGAGAAGACCGCUAGCUCGUAGCUGGUGCUUCAUUACUCUCCGCAAGCCUGCAACGGCGGCCAUAGACGCUACUCGUUCCUCACAACGGGCAGAGGAGGCAGCUUUACCGUCUUUGUGGGACCCGCUUUGACCCGUCCCUCAAUCCUCAGCUGGAUCGAUGGCUUGGGUUGGCAGGAGGAUGGGCAGGUACACGUUAUUGAUCAUGGUGUGUUUGGUUCUUGUCCGAAGUUUGCCCUACUAAAAUUUUAGCAGCCUAUAUUAAUUUGGUCCAUGUUUUCACACAUGUUCUUUGUGGCUAGAAAACGGAAAGCCCUUAGGAUGCUGCAGCGUAACGGACGUGACCCACGGUGGUGUGGCGGUGCGCCCCUCCCCUCCUCUCCAGGCCGCGAUGUGCCCCUCCCCUGCCCCAUGGCGCCACCACGAAACCCCAUGGCGCCUCCACGACCUGCCCCUCCCCUCCUCUCCAGACCGCCACGACCUGCCAAACGAAGUACAAUGUGAUUAACCAUGUAGUCACCUACGGGCAGAGAAGGCUCGCAUAUUUGAGACCCACAAGCCGCUGCAUCCUCUAUGGAGAAACAAGAGGAAGAAGGAGAUCAGGUGACCAGUGUCGCUGGAGGACAUGAAUAUCUAUCGUCUGUUAAAAUGCCACAGAAGCUAGAACAGGGCCAACAUCUAAUAAGUUACCAACUAGAAAUUAAGGAGUUCAGCCACGACUCCAUGGUUACAACCAACGUAGUUCAACGAGAUCAUUGUUCAACCAGAUUUACUCACAACUGCUAGAUAAAAGAUGAAAAUAUUUAUUGGCGAGGGGGACUGGCAGGGACUGCAUGAAGACAAGCUUCACAAUUACUUGGCGCCGCGCGCCUUGGUGCUGUAGAGGCGCUUCAUGGCUGCCUUCUCCUCCGGUGUCUUGGGUGGAGGAAGGUGGCCCGCCUCAAUGCGCUCGUUGUACUUCCUGCGGAGGAAGACACCGUACGCAGCAUGCUUUGCCUUGAACGCAUUUGGGUUGACGGUUUGCCCGAUGUUCUUGGGGUUGGCACCGGAGUUCUCGGCGUGCAGCAUGAUUGCCAUGAAGUCGUUGGCGAGGGUGCGGGAGCAGAAGGGGCAUCGCUAGUUGGGUCCUUUCCAAUACUUGUCAUAGCGUCCCUGGUUGAGGUGCAGCAUGAUGAAGCAAGCCUUCUGGUCGAUGGACUCAUCGUCACUGAGUACAUCCUCGUCUUUGUCCUGCAGCAAACAUUUAGAGUUUUAGGGAAAAUAUACAAGGAGCGAACAUAUGAAGAUCAUGGAUUAACAUUUGCAGAUGUAGAAUAAAACAGAGCAGCCAAUCUGAUAGAGUAUGUGCAAGUUAAGCAACUUCAUAGUCACAUAAAAAAGAGAAUGUUGGUACGGAUAUCUGUGAAUAAACCAAAAAUGGUGCCUCUGUAAACAGAGUAAAGGGCGCCUGACCAUGCGCCUGAACUCCCUUGGGUGCCCCCGGAACCUGGACACACUAAACUGAAUGUGGAUGGCUCCUUCCUGGUUGAGACAGGUGAGGCUGGUACUGGUAUAGUUCUUAGAGAUGAAAGAGGAAGACCAAUCAUGGCAGCCUGUAGAUGCCUGAAAUACUGUAAUAACUAUUUAGAGGCAGAACUUGAAGCUUGUGCUGAAGGCCUGAAAUUUGCCCUGCAGCACAUGCAUCUCCCUAUUUGCCUUGAAGUGGACUGUGUGGAAGCUGUAAAACUCAUAGGGGAAAAGGACAGCUCUUGUUCAAGCUAUCGGAACCUCCUGAUGACCAUCAGAGAACUCAGCGGGGAUCGCGAGGUCACCAUUUUUUUUUUAAACAGCCAUCGACCGGAUUCCAUUAUCAGAUAAUAACGGAAUACACAGUUCACCCCCAACGAGUUUGCAAUCUUGCUGACAGAGCAGGCAAGAAACAAUGCUCAAAAAAAAAGGAUACAAAACAGGUAACAGUAAUAUAACUGACAUAACUAAAGGAGGAAAGACGAGUAAACAAAAUCUCAAGUUUGUUCCAGCAGAGAAGAGCUAGUUUUGUGGUAGCUGGUAUCUACAGCCGGGUGUUCCUUUUGCUUUGGGUGAUGUCCUUGGCCUUUCUUGUUUGAAUUAAUAACUCACUCGAGAAUAGGAUGUCGCUCGCCGUAUGCAAAAUUUCUCGCUACAAGAACGAAGCUAGCGACUUGCUUGCAAAAUUUAGUAGAAUGACUGGUACCACUAAAGUUUGGCUGGGUGAUUACCCUAGUGAUCUUGUAAAUGUGAUGAACAAAGAUUGUAAUCCCAUUAUUUAAUAUAUUACAUUUACGUUGCAAAAAAAAAGACAGAACAGUCCAGGUUUGCUCUGAUAGCCCACUAAAUGCUAGCCUCCAAAAAACUACUUUUCGUUCUAUGAACUUUAAGGUGUAUGAAGAUUCUAAAUAGAAAAAAAAUAGAUCUACUGAAAUCAAGAAGAAAACACGAAUCAAACAAAUGAAUCUCUAGCAUCCAUGCGUCACAGGAAAAAGCAAACCUCGUCGGGGGGGUCGAUUUUUCUGUGCUCGUCGUAGGGAGCAACGACAGGCGGCAGGACACACCGAGGGUACGGUGGCUCGACGGGAGGGUUGGCGAACUCCUGAGCCUGGCGCUUUUCAGUCGUAAAAUUUUCCGUCAAUUCCCUGGACAAAUCCGUAUGCUUUUUCUCCCAGUCUCUACACUGGAGCUCGGCUACACUCCUGAGGGAGUCAGCUUGAGAAAGUUGUUCUAGCAGAACAUCAGCAAAUUAAUAAGUUUCUGUUGGCAAAUCAUGGCUUACCAACAAGCUGAGGUAGGAGCACUUACCGCGCACAAUCGACAAUUCACUCCGGCAUUAUUUCAACUCCUGUUGGAGCUGGUCACGGUCAGCCUUCACUUCUUCGAGUUGAUCAAUAAUUACCAUCAUGGAACGGAUGAUCGGCUAAAAAAGGCGUUCAAGUCAUCAUUUGACUAUCACUCCCACCGGGAGGUAAAAAAACAACAACAACAACAACAAAAACACGAAACUCACGUAUUGACUCGAAGUUGAUGGCUCGGGCAUUUUGACACGUGCGCUCCCUACCUGAGGGUGAGUCAGACUUGUGGGUCGACUCCCUCCACUCUUCACGGGAGACUCCUCCCGUGUCAUUUCAGCACCAUCGCUUCAUUUACGGCUGACGGGCCCAAAUCUUUUGGGCUCGACCCCGACAAGUCGACAACCUGAGCCUCUGUUUUCUCGCCUGACUCAGCGGGGCUAUCGAGAAAAUGCGCGUCAAAAGGGCAGUCAGAACUCCUGAGCAAUGCAAACAACCUGUCAGAUUGCGUACCUGUUUCGGGCAAGUGGCGCUAGGAGGCCAUAGCGACGUGUGGGGACAUGCCUGCUCGUUCUGGCCUUCUUCGCUGCAGAUUCCGGAGUCAAAGUCCUACCUGUUAGGUCUUCAACUUCGACCGACGGGGCACACGCUGCUGAGGGAUUUUCCCCCGGUUGUGUUUCCUCUUCGACUCCAUGAUGGCGUCACCUGUUCCCGAACUAGCCACUACGGCUGUUGGUGCAAGCAUUGUGUCAACUUUACCCCCUUGUCCGACUAGGCGGGACUGGCUCGAAGCCCUUUCGAGUCCCUGCAAUAUGACAGUAUCAGAAGCACAGUUCAUCUAUGGAAGCGAUUAAAAUACCGAGUCGAAGAUGGUUACCUUUUCCCAUGCCCUGUCGGGUCCGUAAGGAGUCACUGGAGGGUCAAUGUCACAUGAAUCCUCCAUGGACAAAGUGGUGAUGCACCGGAUCCGUCGGCUCACUUCCGAUGAUUCAAGUUCUUCCGUCCCCACUCGGGUCGGGUCUUGGAUUCCUUGAUAAGCCCACAUCGGGUGAGCGCGAGCUUGCAAAGGUUGGAUCCUCCUCCUCAGAAAGAUGGCAAUAAGGUGGAUUCCUGUCACCUUUAGCAAGGGAGUCUCCAUGAGGGAGAGAACUUGAGCCAUUAAGGUUUCAGCUUCUUCUUCUUCAGCAGCUGUUUUCUUCACUGAAGAUUCAGAGAAUUCAAGAAGACUGAUAUCCUGGCCAUCAGCUGGCCCGUCCAAAACAUAGAACCAUCUCGUUCUCCAGUUCUUCUAAGGUUCUUUCUGAUGAAGAACAAAAUAUGCCACAUUUGUUUGGGGUUGGAUGUCUACAUUUCCAAAUGGGUCAUUCCCCUGGCGCUGGAUUUGGAACAUCUUCUUCCAAAGCCCCCAAUGUGGGUUCACCCCGAGAAAGCAUUCACAAAGCGUCGCAAAACACGCAAUGUGAAGGUAGGAAUUGGGAGAAAAAUUAUGGAGUUGCAAUCCGAAAGCCAGCAGCAAUCCACGAAGGAAAGAAUGAACCGGGAAAGCAAGCCCCCGAAGAAUAAAGUCAAGGAACACAACCCGUUCCCCGAGCAAAGGGCGAGGAUUUACCUCUUCAUCGGGGAAACGGACGCGUCCAGGCUCUACUGACAGAAGGCCUUCGUCUUGCAUAACGGCGACCAUCUCGCGUUCAAUCGCCGAUACUGGCUAGGCGGAUGGGGUAUGGCGAGAGCCUGCCCUGGAAACAGUUGCGGUUUUCUUACUCUUCCCCAUUUUACUGGGUCGAAAGAGAUUUCUUGCUAUGGAAGGUUAAGUUUUUCUAGCUAUUGGCACGGGGAAGAAGAAGGGUGAAACUUUUUUUUAGAUCUGGGUGAAACUGAUCCGGCCCUUUUUCAAAAUCUCUUCCUUUCUCCAGCGGCUCUCCCCCUUCCGCGACUCCCCUAUUUUCAUCUUCGGUUAUGCCCCGUCAAGAUCCUAGCCCGGCCCAUUCGCUCCCGAUCCCUAUGGUUCCAUUGGGAUAAAAAAACUCGAGGUCCGACUCGUGGAAAUAGGCGAGCAGACAUGUGGAGCCGCUGGUCCAGCGCGCGCACCACUCCGAGACGCUGGCCAGGGCGGCCGGCGACGUGUGCAGCAACGGCGGGGCAACCGCAGCGGCUAGCUCCCCUUCCCUUCCUCCCUGUCGUCUCUUUUCUCCCACAAUCAAGCAGCGAUGGCGCGCGGGGCAGCAAGCUUCGUCGCGAGGGGCUGCAGGGGCGGCAUCAGGCUGCCCAGCAAGUCACGCGACGCUUCCUGUACUCAAGCAUGGCUUCGUUUGUAAGGCAAUAACUGUCCUGAACUAGAAAACCCUAGCUCGCAGAUCCGGCCUCCGAACGCCGCCACCCUUCCCCGGCUCCAGCGCCCACGAGCAGCUCACGCUCCCUCUCUCUUCCCCCCCCUCCCCACGCGAGCGACGCCCGGCUUCCAUCCAUCUCCCCCGCAAUGCAAGCGAGGUUCGGCAAUGCCGCCGACGGCUGGGCUUGGGCGGAUGGAUGCCGCCGUACACCACUUCACCCCGAUGGGCUACAAGAAGACCCUAGUCCGCAGCGUCGUCAACUCCUCAAGGUUCCCCUCUCCCUUGCUCCCUUUUCUGCUUCUUCACGUGAAGUGGUCUAUGGCGGCGUCCAUCCGCCCAAGCCCAGCCAUCGGUGGCAUUGCAAAACCUCGCUUGUGUUGCGGGGGAGAUGGAUGGAAACCGGGCGUCACGCGUGGGGGCAGGGGGGGACGCUAGAUUUGUUUUGGACAUGCCAUAGGAACUAUUUCCAUUGAAAAGGUCUGAUUCUGCUAUCAAAACCAUUCUUUUGUGCCUUAUGGGCUACCAUGCUUCCAUAUGUCCACCAGCCCUCAAAGUUAAUUUUGAUCUUCCAGGAGGUUCUGACCUUACUUUUAAAAAAAAAGAGUUAAUUUCUAUCUCACUUAGAAGAAUCGCGUCGUCGCCUCCCUGCCGGAGUGCCGGUAACAUUCAUCCUCUUCCCCGCACCCACGUUGUGUUUUCCCUGCGUGGUCCGUAGCAUCGGCUUCUGGUUGGGAACGGGUUGCGCCUUGUAUCUGGGGGAUUCCUUUUUUCUUCUUCUCCUUCUUUCGGUUUGUUUGAUCAAAGGAGGCGAGAGGGGGACAGGGAUGCUUGUGGAUUGCUCGGGGAGCUGGGGUUUCCGCUCGUUGUCCUUGAUGGCUCCAUUGGCAAUAGUUGAGGAAUGAGGAAAGGGGCAGAUCGGGCUGCCAGGCCGGGAAUGAGAUGGGCUGCUUGGGGAAUGAAGGAAGUGGCAGAGUGGGCAGCCAGGCCGGGAAUGAGAUGGCCUUCUUCUAUCUGGUGGGGUGGCUAUCGGGCCGGCCUGGUCCAGCACCGGCCUGGCUCAUGUUAAGGCCCAUCCCGUUGGCCAUCUAUAUUUGCGGGUCGAUGCCGGCCGCAACUCAGCUAGUCACCUGAUCUCCCCUAAAAAAAAAGCUAGUCACCUGAUCUAGGGUUCUAGCCUUAAUCGCCGAUGGGGGGAAGCGUUUCGCCGCUGGACGGGACGGGGUCGCCGGUGAUGGUGGGAGGGAGCCGGUCGCCGCUGCACUUCACGGGGUCACCUGGAGCGCCCGUCCAGCCUCGGUCGUCAUCGCUGGAGGAGAGCCAGUCACAUCGUCACCUGGAUCUAGGUUUCCAGCCGUGGUCGCCGCUGGAAGGGAGGCUGUCGCCUGGGGUGCCCUUCCAGCCUUGGUCGUCGCCGCUGGAGGAGAGCCAGUCACGUCGUCGCCUGGAUCUAGAUUUCCAGCCGCGGUCGCCGCUGGACGGGAGGCUAUCGCGCGGGGCGCCCUUCCAGCCGCUGUCCUCUUCGUCACGGAACCUUUCUCAGCCGUCGCCGAUACGGUACCGUGAGGGUCCAUUGGAUUACGUGCCCCACGUGUAUUGCAAGUGUAUCCCGAAAGCGAAGGCCGGACGAUUUAUUUCGUGGAGUGAGUACCCGGGGAGGAGGUACUACAGUUGCAUGAAAAAGCGAGUAAGUUUUUUGUUAUUUGAUCUUUGUGGAUUCCAUUCAAAUUUUGUUCCUUAUUUUUGUAUAAUCUGCUCAUAUUUUUGUUUGCAUUUAGACUGACCCUCAGAGCUACAGUCAUUUCCUUGGAUGGCAUGAUGAGGCUUUCCCUCAAUAUGUCACCAAUCUGAUUGGGGACUUGCGAGACAGGGUGGAUGAACUGACGUCGCAGGUUGAUGAAUAUGAAGCGAAGCAUGAAAGAAUUCAGGGCCAGUUGGAAGUUAUGAUGGAUAUGUUGGAGGGUGUGCAAUUGAAGUGAAAGUCCAGUGUUGUUCAUGCUGGACGGUCUGAAGUCGACUGGUGUUCUUUUUGGUACUCGAAUUAUUCAUGAAGUUGAAGGUCUAGUAGUGUCAUUUUGUUUUAAAAACAUGAACUUAAGUACUUGAAUGAACUUCGAGUAGUGUUCUUUUGGUACUCGAAUUGUUCAUGAAGUUGAAUGUCCAGUACUGUCAUUUUGGAUAUGUUGCAGGGUGUGCAAUUGAUGAGGUUGUUUGUACUCCCUUCGUCCCAUAAAAAUUGGCACGGAUUUGAAGUAGAGCUAGUUAGUACCAAAUUGUUGCUGAUGCUUGUGGAGUAACAGAAUUAGGAGAUAGUUAGUACCGACUUUGUAACUUUCUAAGUCGAUCUGUUCAGUUGAAGGUAUGUUCUGUAUUCAGCUUGUUACCUUGCAAGUCAAUUGCGAGCAGGGCUAUCUAGAAAUCCUGUCAGUCACUAGCUAGUAUGGUCUUUAUGGUUUGUCCAACUGUAAUUUCAUUUUGUUGUGCAGUUGUUAGCAUGAAGUAAUUUGCCACUACGCAUUAGGUUAGAUGCAGCUUGAAAGAGUAUUAAUUAAUUACCACUGGCUAAACAGUUCAGUAGUCUCUACUUAGCGCCGUAGUCUCUGGUUAACAAACUUCAUGUGGUUCCCAAGUGGCCAGAUACAUGACCUGCUGCAUAGACUCACAUUUUAAGGUGUGCACGAGUUUUUUUAGAGAAAAACGAAUGCACACUACCGAACUUAAUAUACUGUGCAGUUGCCCACAAACACUUCCUGAGCAGUGCAAAAUGCUAGAUUCUAUACACUUCCUAGGAGAGAAAUACAAAAUGCUAGAACCCAUACAUGCCUGUAAACCACGCCCUUCAAAUGCACGACGUGCUGCUGUCAAAGAACUUUGCUGUGCUGUCGAAGAACCUGGUGCUGCUCCUUUUGGUGAUGAAGAACCUGCUGCUGAUGAUGAACCUGCUGAUGAUGAUGAAGAACAGGAACCUGAGGAGGUCGAAGUGGUUUUAUGUCCGAGUCGACUCGCCGGAUGCCGACCCGAGUCUUCCUCCCUUCGCCGUUAUGAACUCAGUGAAGAAGACGGCGGCAUGGAAACAUGAGUUGACUUCCGCGGAGGAGUCGCACGCGAAGUCACUGUUGGCUCGGGUUCACACGCUUAUGGAUAAUGGCCUGAGAGGUGUUCAUAUGAUUGCCACGUUCCUGAGGAGAAGGAUCCAGCCGUUGCAGGCUCGCGAUCACCCGAUGUGGUCCUCUCAGAUACUCGAGGACUCGACUCGGGUGAACGCUGAGGACUUGACUCCACAAGAUGUGGAGAUGCGACUGCGCAAGCUUACAAGCUUGAACGCCGCGGCACCAUGCGAGAUCGACUCGCCAGUGGUCCCAUAUGGACCUGAGAGGCCAAGGGAGGAGGUAAAUCUUUCGACUCCCUGUUUUUGAUUUCUUUGUAAUAUGAUUUUGCUAAUGUUUUGAUGACCGCACGGACUCGAAGAUCUUUUGAGUCAACCUCCACCUGCCGGAGAAGAAGAUCCUGCAGAUGAAAUUUCGGAGUCACCAGCUCAGGUGGCUGACUCCGACGUUGAGGAUGCUGAUGUAGAGCUGCGGAGAAAACGCAGCCGAGAGGCGGACUCCUCAAAGGCUCGCGAUUCUCGAGCAGAAGGUCUAUCUGACUCCUCAAAGGCUCCCAUGACAGAAGAAGCCCAAGCUGCGAGUGUCAGCCCCUCAGCGUAGUUAUGGUGUCCUUGCCCAGGUCAACCGAAGCAGGUAUACCACUUGUAGUACAUCGCGACGGCUUGAGUACUCGUUGAUUUCUUCUAAUGUUAACACUUCUGGCAGCUCAACCGUUUCAGGCGAGCCGACGGAGUCGACCCCGAAAUUGCCGGACCCGACUGAUGUAGACAAGCCAUCUAGAGAUAAGGAAAUUGCUCCAGAGAUACCCCUCUCGACGAGCGAAGGGAGUCGACCAUCCGAGCCGGCUCAACUUCAUACUCGAGUCGAAGGUGCUAGUGUUGAAGCAUCUCCACCUCGAACGACGUCCUCUGGCUAUCAUGUAAGUUACUGUCUUCUUUGAGAUUUUCGCCUUCCGGUGGGAGUAGUAGUCAGUAGAUGACUCGAAAAGUUUCUGCAGCCGAUCAUUCACUCCAUAAUGAAGUAUGUCGGUGAGUUCGAGGACAUGAAGGCUGAAUGCCACCGGCUCCGCAAAGAGUUGGAGAAGUGUCAGCAAGAUUUGACGGCCGCACACAGUUUGCUAUGAGUCGCAUAUUUGAAGGUUCGAGUGCUCAUUAUUUCUGCCGCAGACCAAACCUCUCAGGCCAACUCCCUCAAGGACGCUGCUGAACUCCAGUGUAAGAACUGGGAGAAAAAACAGGCGGACUUGGCUCAGGAGUCGGCAGACAAGUUGGCGGCCAAGAAACGCCGUGCCCAAGAAGCUUUGGAUGCCCGCCUCUCCAAGGAGACGGAGGCAGAGAGGCGGCAGGUCGAGCGACUUAAUGAAGCCGCGCGUUCUUUCGCUGGUAAGCUUUCAAGCUGUUUGAGUGACUUAGCUUUUGUCUUCUAGUCAACUGAAAAAUGUCAAAAACCAUUGACAAAUUCAAAGUUUGCUCUGAAUUUGACAUUUUUGCAUGACCUCAAAUUUAGUGUAAAGAUGACCAGCUGCAGAAAUUUAGCGGCUGCUUCUUAGCCAUUCAUGUUAGCUGUUUUGCUCUAGCAGUGAGAUUCAGUGACUGUGGGGGUUGCCCUGUUUUUUUCUACAAUGAAGCCGUUCUAAAAUGGUAAAGGUCCACAGAGAUUUGGCUGCAUUACUGGAAGAGGAGAUGUCUCGCAGGGGAUCUUCGCUGGUGCCAUCUGGUGAACAAUUUGGGAAAUGGAAAUGAUUGAGAGAAAGCAGUUAUCGUAAGCAACAUCGGAGAGUGCAGGCUCCUUGACAGCCCGUCCAAGGGCUUCACUUCCCCAUCUGGGAGGGCGUUGAUUCCGCUUCGGGGAAUUCAGAAACAGGUCCUCCUCGGUCGUCCACUCUUUCUUCGACGGCAGAUUGCUCCCACUUCCACCAUUCUCGAUCUCCUACGCGCCAAAGAUAAGAUACAGGAGACGGGGUCCUGUGAAACGAACCUAUCCCUCGUGCUUUCACAAGAGCCUAUUGCGGGAUUCGAGCAGGAGAAAUUGUUCGAUCGUAUAUUUACUCUUCUUCCAGUCUUGUCUUGGACACUCUAGGAUGUGUUCUUGAUAUUUGUCUCCUUGGCGCCGAGGAGCUCCUGCGCCCGGCGCGUCUCCACGUCGGCGGCCUCCUGCGACUCGGAAAUCAGGCUGGAAUCCGACGAUUUGGAAGAAUGGUGCGAAUGGUGGGGCGUGGGAUGGAGCUCCUGCGGCCAGCGUGUCUCCGCAUCGGACAUGACUCCAAUUGAUAUGCAUAAUACUAUCUAAGGAAGACAUGUAAACAAGCUAGCAACUUAGUUUAUACAUGGUGUUACAUAAAGAAAAAUAAAAUCGGCCCAGGAAGGGGAAACGGAAAGAAGGGAAAAGCACGUCGGCCCUCAAAUUUUAAGCAAACUUUGAAUUGCCGUAAAAAAUUCAAAGAAAAAUAAAAAAAAUCGGGUAGGUAUAAUACUGGGAGAUUGUGUAGCUGGAUCUUUUUGUGUUGAUUUUUAUAAUGGGAAUCAUCAGAUUGAGAGGCUUGAAAUCCAUACCCUGUCGCACGAACAACGAAAAUUCAUUUCACAGCAAGUUCGAAGAACAGCAGGGCACAACCCUGUUUCAGAGCGCAAAAAUAUAAGAAAACCCACCUCCCACUCGCCAGGGUAACUAACGUCGUCGGAUUCCUCGCUAUCUGGCCAAGAAAUCCCCAUCUCGUUUCUAGAUCGAGCCUCAGAACUAACCCUAGCAGCAUACUCUUAUUACCAGGCCAUAUUCGUGGUGGCGCCAUGGGGCAGGGGAGGGGCACAUGGCGGCCUGGAGAGGAAGGGAGGGGCGCACCGCCACACCGCCGCGGGUCACGUCCGUUACGCUGCAGAUAUAUAUGUAUAGGGAAAUAACAUUCCAGGUCCAUGAACUUGGCAGCGAUGUUCAGUUUCAUCCAUUCACUUGAAAACUGUUCAAAUGACUCACUGAACUUGGCAGCUUUGUUCAUUUUAGUCCAAAUGACCAAAAUCAGGUGAAAUUCGGCCAUGCUGGCAUGUGUCGUGGACCUGACCGAUGUGGGAGGGCCUUUACAACUUUCUGGUUAUGGACAUUCUCUGUUUACCCCCCCCCUCCCCCCAAACCUCCUCUAGAAUGGGGAGACGCUCCCCUCGCUGGUGAACCCAAUUUGGGCCGGUAUACGCGGCGUCCACGCGAAUGGUUCCGUCGAUGGGUUCUGCGGCAGCUACUCGAACAGCCAGAUCCACGUCACAUGCCAUCAUGACCGAAUUUCACCCUAAUCUGACCAUUUGGACUAAAAUGGGCAAAGCUAUCAAGUUUAAUGAGUCAUUUGAGGAGUUUUCAAGUUAAUGGAUGAAACUGAAUAUCAUUGUCAAGUUCAUGAACCCGCAGUGUAAUUUCCUCUGUAUGUACUGUGUGUGUGCUGCCGGUCUAAACAAAACAAAUCGAAUCGAGCAACCAAUUAAUUCUUAUCCACUUCCAAAGAUGUUGUUGUCUUCGUGCCUGGGAAGCGUGGUGUUGGUCGGAGCAUCAGCCUUGGCCACCGCCGCUUUGACCUGGUCCGUGUGGACGCUCCUGGAGGAAUACCUCCACGCACGCCGUGCCUCCUCCAAAAACCCCUUGCCGGGCGGCAUCCUCAAGGCCUUGGACGCCGGCGCCCUGGACCCGGUCAUCGGCCGCGACGCCGAGAUCGACCGCGUCGUGUGCAUCCUCUGCCGCCGGACCAAGAACUGCGCCGCGCUCGUGGGCGCCACCGGGGUCGGCAAGACGGCCAUAGUCGAGGGCCUCGCGCAGCGCAUCGUGGCCGGGGACGUCCUCGGCGCGCUCACCGGGGCGCGCAUCGUGCAGCUCGACAUGGGAGCCAUGGUCGCCGGGACACGCCUGCGCGGCAUGUUUGAGCAGCGGUUCAAGGAAGCCAUUAGGACGGCGGAGGAGUCGGACGGCAAGAUCAUCCUGUUUGUCGACGAGAUGCACGUGCUGGUCGGCGACGGGGACACCCGGGACGGCACCGGCGACGCGGCCAACAUGCUCAAGCCGGCAUUGGCCCGUGGCCGCAUCCGUUGCGUCGGCGCUACCACGACCGGAGAGUACCGCUGGUACAUCGAGCCGGACGCCGUGCUCGAGCGCCGGUUCCAGAAGGUGGCCGUCGAGCAGCCGAGCGUCGAGGCCACCAUUGCCAUCCUGCGAGGGCUCAAGUAGCGGUACCAGGAUCACCAUGGGCUCAGGAUCCAGGACGACGCGUUUGUCGUUGCUGCACAGCUCGCUGGCCGCUAUAUUUUCGGUAUGUUAAAUCCAAGAAUUUAAUCUAAUCGUAUGUGGAUUAGUGCAGUGCAAGCGUCGAUGAUUAUUCGCAAGACAAUUAAUUGGUGCAACUUUUUUCAAAAAUCGAUAUUGCGAGGUCACCAGUUUCCUGAUAAGUCAAUUGAUCUUAUUGACGAGGCAUGCGCUACGACAAAGAUGCAAGCAGACAAGUGAAAAAUGGCCAAUGCAGCCCUAUGAUCACUGCACCAAAAGAAGGAGCUAACUGUUGGCCCGAGCCAUGUCGCACAGUUAAAUAUUACUAGUAAUUCCUGAUCAUCUUAUUUCUAUUGUUUUCGUGCGAUUUGUUUAUAAUAUUGUCCAAAUUAUUAAGGUGAGCCGAUGGACUAGAAUCCCUCUCACUACACUUGAUCAAGAGGACAAGGAGAAGCUGACUCACCUAGCGAAAAAAUUGCACGACCGGGUUGUUGGCCAAGAUGAGACGGGUCGUUAAACCCUAGCAGCAGCGUCGGCGGCGGCUACACUGUGUUCUUUUUUUUUUUGAAGGCAUAGUGUGUUCUUUCUGAGCUGCUUUCGACUUUGAAUCGGCAAAGAACGUACCUACUCGUUCAGUUUCUUUUUUUUUACGAAACGGGAGCAGCGCUGCAUUUCAUUGAUUAAGAUAGAACAAAAGAGUUAUUUACAACUCCAAGAAGGAGAGAGAACAAAAACAAAAAACAAAAAACAGCCUAGGAAAGAACUUUGGGAGGGCGAACCCUACGUUCGGUUUCUUAAUAUCUGUACAUGAUUGUUCGAGUAAAGUUCAUUUUAAAAGUUCAUUUUAAACCUUGUGCUUGUAGAGGUCGACCACAUCAAACCCUGAACUGCAAAUCCCUGAAGUCGGCACCCCCAACUCUUCAAUACCGGUCAUUAGUUGCCAAAACAGUGUAUCCAAAAACGUAGCACCAAUUGGGUCCCACUAUUAGUCCAACGUGCCCUGAGUAGCCAAACAUGUCAACCACUACAAGCACUCUUUUUUUUUUUGCAUUAGAGGAGGAGUUGCAUCAAAAUCAACUAUGCCCCUGCCUGAUAUGGGUGACCACUGACCACGAACAUCAAGCCUUACUUCCUGUCGACUACGUGCUCAAGGCCAGCCUGUCCGAUAUGGCCGGCCAUGGGCAUUGGGCAACCAGGUGUUCACCGACGAACAGCGAGGCGCUCAAGGCCAGCCUCGUCCCGGCCAUGUGCAACCUGCACGCGGCGCUGGCCCAGUCAGCAUGGAUGACUACGUGCACCGGCCAGCAGCUCGUCCGUCGGCGGCCAUGGCUAGCCUUCUUGGAGGAGGUACCGUUCGAGCUCGUCGCUGUGGAUGCUCCCGGCCGCCUCAUAGGCUACGGCAGCGGCGAACCGGAUAAUCAACGCCAGCACGGCGGCCUUUCCCCUUUUCGCCGGUCUGAUUUGCCCGGGGUUCGCAUGCCCAGAAUAUACAUCUACUGGUCCAAAGGAGGAAGAAGCUGUGGGACCCACCAAUAAAAUUUGAUGAACAGGGAAUAUGGAUGGAGCAUAGAUGAGAAGUAGUCAAAGCCGCGUUUGUAUUGAAAGGCCCGUGCGGGACCCACCCUGUACAUGUGGCUUGCUUUAGUCAAAGAUCCUAGCCACAUCAGCAAUCCUAGUCUGUGAUACCCUUAUUUGCAACUAAUGAUCAGGAUUGAAGAGUUGACGGUGCCAACUUCAGGGAUUUGCAGGUCAGGGUUUGAUGUGAUCGACCUCUACAAGCAGAUGGUUCAAAAUGGACUUUACUCUUGUUCUAAUUAAUUCAAACUUUCUCAGCUUCCACCGAUUUCGUAGAAAAAGGUAUCUGCAUACGUAAAACAAAACAAAAGCAAUCUAGUCCUAGCGGUAAUAGAUUAGAUACUGGUAAAAAAAGGGUAAUAGAUUAGAUUUUGUGUUGUGUACAUUUGUUUGUUUUUGCCAAAACUUGCGACCGUUGUCAAGUUGACAAAUUUUGACUUGGGAUAAAGAUAUUUCGAAACAAAGCAAUUUCUCCAAAUCUGCCCCGGUUGUAUGCUGUUGUUAGGAAGUAGCGAGGCCCACACGUCAUUCAGCCAGCUAAGGGCAUUUUCAACAAGUUGAUACUAGAGCUGAUACUAAGAGGAGAGAGAAAAGCCAACCUCAUGCUAAGUAACAGCUGCUACAACAGUUCGUUUAUUUGUCUUGUUACUAAGAUCUAAAAUACUAUUUAAAUGUUGCAUGUGAGAGUAACUUGUGAGGAUCUACAAUGAACUAUAACUUUGUAGCCUAUACAUGUAUCUCUUGUAUAUUAACAAGUAGUCUAUAAUCAGCAAAAACAUAAACAAUACAUUAAUUAUUGCUGCAAAUCGGACAUCAUAAUAUACGGCCACGUACUAUAAACGAACUGAGAUUCAGGACGAUGCUCUUGUUGCUGCCACACACCUCGCUGACCGCUAUAUUACCGGCAUUUACUGAUGCUCUCUGUUGCUCCGUUUUAUUUUUAAUUAACAAAAAAUUUUAGCAAGAACAUGUGUGCUCCUUGUUUUUUUUUUACUUUGAAUUUUGGAAAAAUCUAGUGGUAAUUGUGCAGCUGUAUGCAAGAAAUAUGCUACUAAUUGUAUUGGAAUUGAGUACUCUAUAAUUUUUAAAUUUAGGAAAGAUUAGAAUAGAUAUGGAAAUUAAGUGGAUGAUUUUUUUGUUUUGUUAGCUCCCCAAUUUCCGGACAAGGCAAUUGAUCUGAUUGACGAGGCAUGCGCCGGCGUCAAGUUGCAUGUCGAAAAACAAAAACAAGUCGAAGAUGAAGAAAACAGCAGCUCUAUCAAUGCACCCAAGGCGGGAAUUGUUACCACAGGUCAUGUUGCGCACGUAACUAACCGUUCCCACUACUACAAAACGGUCUAUAUGCCACGCAACAUCAGUAACGAGUCCAGCGUGACCGUUACUAAUAAAGAACAUCAGUGUCAGUCGCGGCCACGACCGUUACUGAUGAACCGAGCGGGCACCGUCCGUCCCCGCCCAGCCACACAUCAGUGGCGGUCGCGCGACACGACCGCCACUGAUGAACACUCAUAGCUCGCGAGUUACAUCAGUGGCGGUCGUUUAAGCGGCGACCGUUACUGAUGAACCAGGCAUCAGUAACGGUCGGACCAGCUCGACCGUUACUGAUGUGUACACGAUUAUCAGUAACGGUCGAGGAAACCUCGACCAACACUAAUGUUACUCGCGUAUUAAGUACGCUGUGCGGAGCCGCAGCUGGUCGCGCCGCGCGUCGUGACGGACCAGCUGCGGCCCCUUCCUCUCCGGCGACGGCGUGGUGCCGCCCGACCGCGCCAUGGCCUCGGCGACCACCCCAGGUACGCCCUCCUCCCUCCCCCCCGCGCUGGCGGCGCCGCCCCAUGGCCGGCGAGCAGCCAUGGCCGCCGAGCUCCAUUUUUGGAGCUCCGGCGGCCGGCGCGCUCCGAUCUUCGAGCCCUAAGCUUCCCUCUCCCUCCCGAUGUCUCUCUCCUCCCGAUCUCUCUCGCUGGCCUCAAUUUCUCUCCGAAUUUUCCCAAUAUAAAAUUUUUGAGCUCCACGGCCGCCGGCCAAAAUGCGGCGUCCUCUUCGUCGCCCGGAGCUUCCCUCUCGCUUGCGUGCUCUCUCUCCCUCCUGAUCUUUCUCGCCGGCCUCCAAUUUCUCUCCGAAUGUCUCUAAUUUCAAAAUUUUAGUUAGCUCCGGUUAAUUAGCAGAUUAAUCUCCUUGUCAAUGAUUAGGCUAACUAUUUUGCUUUUUUGUUUUUUUGUGUAUUGUGUUGUAGAUCGAAGGAUCGUUCUUGGAUGUGCGCGAAGGAAAGAAUCAAUGCUCGAUGGAUAACCGAAUGGACGGUCUUUUUUGGAGUCGCGAAAGGUGAUAUGGAACGAAAAGGACUUUUGAUGAUGCGUUGCCCAUGUCGCAAAUGUGGAAACACAUGCAUAAUGAAGCCUGAAGAUGUUCAGAUGCACGUGCUGGCAUCGGGUUUUGUCGAUGGUUAUUCUCGCUGGACUUGUCACGGGGAGGAUGCAGUUGAUGUCGGUAGCGGUAGCGAAGAUGAUGAUGUCCUGCGGUAUGAUCUGGCGAAUGAGUCCGAGGAAGAAACAAGGGUCGAUGAGGAGGCUAAUGUGAAAGGUGAAGUAGCUCCAUGUGGCAGGAUUGCCGAAAUGCUAGAUGACCUGUACCUACGGGACCAGCUGGAGGACCCCGAAGAUGAGGCAGAGUCUGCUCAGUUCAAAAAAUUGUUGGAGGACACAAACACACCCUUGUAUGAUGGAGCUGGCGAAGAAAACAACGUGCUCGAAGUGAUGCUCGAACUUUUGAGGCUGAAGGCAGCAUCAUGCUAGUCAGACAAGGGCUUCACGGGCUUGUUAAGUUACCUUGCUUCAGUUUUUCCACAGCCAAAUAAGUUGCCCGAGAGCACAUACGAGGCGAAGAAGAUUACGUGCCCGCUCGGAUUGGAUUGCGUGAAACAUCAUUCAUGUCCAAACGACUGUAUGGUAUACAUUGGAGAGUACGAGAACCAUGAGAGCUGCCACAUAUGCGGUGCAUCGAGAUACAAGAAGAAAAACGCCAGAGCUGGCGAAGACGAUGGGGAAGAAGUGAUGAAGGGCAGGCCGGCAAAGACUGUCUGGUAUCUUACGACAGGUGGCUGAGUUGACGUUGGAUGCAGAAUGUUAAGGAUGCGAGGUAUCUCGUCUAUCACGAUCCGGCGCAAGCUGCAUUCGAUCCUGACAGGCACUACCGUGUGGAGAAGGCUGGGGUCCUAAGACACCCUGCCGAUGGGACUCAGUGGAGGAAUUUGGACACGGCAUUUCUAGAUUUUGGGGCAGAGCCCAGAAACCUAAGGCUCGGUCUCAGCACUGACGGGAUAAAUUCUUUCGGAAACAUGAACAACAAGCACAGCACAUGGCCAGUGAUCUUGUUUGUCUACAACCUUCCUCUAUGGUUAAUCAUGAAGAGAAAGUACAUCCACAUGUGCAUGCUCAUACAGGGUCCAAAGCAGCCGGGAGCUGACCUGAAUGUGUAUCUGCAGCUAGUGAAGGAUGAGCUGAAGCAGCUUUGGAAUCCUGGCAGAGUGGUUUGGGACGCAAACAAGAGGGAGUACUUCAUGAUUAGAGCAGCGCUUCUGACGUGCGUGCAUGACUACCCCGCGAAUGGAAAUACUUCAUGCCAGGUGACACAUGGCUACAAGGCCUGUACAAAGUGCGGGGAAAACACGCCAUCGGAGAAGUUGCCCGCUUCAUCCAAAAUUGUGUACAUGGGCCACCGAAAGUGGUUGGAUGCUAAAGACCCUUUGAGGGAUGACAAGGAAAGGUUCAAUGGGAAGACGAAGCACGGGACAGCGCCGAAGGAGAAGUCUGGUAUGCAAAUCCUCGGAAUUGUGAACGAUUUUGAGGUUGUCUCCGGAAAGAUUGCUGCGAAGAAAUAUAAGGAACCUGAAGGCAUCGUGUGGAAAAGGAGGUCCGUAUUCUGGGACCUGGAGUACUGGGCACAUUUAGAAUGCCGCCACAGCAUAGAUGUCAUGCACGUGGAGAAAAAUGUAUGCGACAACGUGCUGGGGUUGCUGAUGAACAUUCCAGAGAAGACGAAAGAUGGACCCAACGCACGGAAGGACCUGGAACUCAUGUUUAUCAGGAAAGAGUUGUGGGGCAAAGAUCAAGUGUCGGCGGCCGACAAGAAUGGUUUCGUGACGGUGACCACGCGGUGUCGUCUUGCAUGUUACAACCCGUACAAAGACGAGUUGCAUAGGAUGUGCCAGUGCCUGCAGGGCAUUAAAGUCCUAUCGAACUACUCGUCGAGCAUCAAGCAUCUAGUUGACAUGAAGAGUCACAAGCUAUCUGGCAUGAAGUCCCACGACAACCAUGUCAUACUCACUCAGUUACUUCCAGUCGCAAUCAGAGGUAUCAUGGAGCCGCACGUAAGGGAGACAAUCAUGAAGCUUUCUUUGACAGCAUCUCGCAGAAGUCAAUCACCGUUAGACGUGCCAGAUACUGAAAGAUAGUAUGAUACAGAUUCUGUGAGCUCGAGAUGUUCUUCCCUCCAUCAUUCUUCGAUAUCAUGGUCCAUCUAAUGAUCCACAUAUGCGAUGAGAUCCUGUCCCUAGGGCCCUCGUUCCUGCAUAACAUGUAUGGCCCUGAACGAUACAACGGGAUUCUAAAGCGGUACGUUCGUAACAGAUCGCGUCCGGAAGGUAGCAUCGUGAAAGGCUUUAGGGCAGAAGAGUGCAUCGAGUUCUGCACGGAUUGGUUGGCCGAUCAGAAAUCAAUAGGUGUUGCCGAAUCACGGCACAAGGGCAAGCUCGUUGGCGAAUGUGGCCUUGGACAGACAUACCUUAAUGUCUAUGGAAGAGGAAGGGAAGCAGACUUUGAAAGAGCACAUUUGGUUGUGUUGCAAACUGUCGAUUGCUGCCGGUCUUAUCAGGAAAUCCACAUGGAACAACUGCGAAAUAAAAACCCUAAAAGAUGAGAAGUCUGGAUCCACUAGGAGCACAAUAAAACAUUCGCAGCGUGGCUGAAGAAUUAUUGGUACGGCAGGGAGACGACCAAUCUAUCAGAAGAGACGGUUGCAUGUUUGUCACGGAAACCUGCUUACCACGUCUCUACUUGGCAAUCAUAUGCAAUCAUCGGCUAUAACUUCUACACUGCGUCUCAGGACCGUAAAAGCACGUAUCAAAAUAGUGGUGUAGUCAUGACUUCUGAGACCGCGACCGACGACAACAGCAAAACCAAAGUGUUCUUCGGUGUUAUCGAGGAGAUCUGGAAAUUGGAGUACUCGAUCACAAAGAUCUCAAUGUUCCGUGUAAGAUGGACCAAAGGUGAAAAAGAAGAAAGUCACAGGUUCACGACGAUGGUGCUACCUCCUGAGAUCCCUCGUGAACAAGUUGACGUGAGAAAAAUUCCGGCAAGAGAGGAACCAUGGGUCUUUGCUAAACAAUGCAAGCAGGUAUUCUACAUAAACGACCCGGCAAAUAAAGGCCGCGUCGUAGUAAGAAGAGGGAAAAGAAGCAUUGUUGGAGUGGACGGAGUUACUUCACAAGAAGACUACGAAGGUUUCCAUGAUCCGACAACCGCCGCAGAUGAUGACGAAGCAGAACGCAUGAUAUUAACGAGGAAAAGAAGAUGUGAUGGGAGCGAGAGCGAAAAAAUACCACAAAAACCCUACCUCAGAAGCAGUUCUGAGAGGAGUCAAGUUAUGACUUACCGAAGGAAGGAGAAGCACUAGUAGUCACAUUGUAAAAAUGUACUCGUACUGAAUCUUAAUGCAAACUUUGUACUAAGUGAAAUUAUGUGUGAAAUUUGUUUGCAUGUGAUGAAUUUUUUGAAAUUUGUAUGCAUGUGAUGAAAUUAUGUGUGAAAUUUGUACUAGAAAAAUGCAUGAAUUGAUUCCUCAAACAUAAUUUCAAAUGCAUGAAUGAAUUGAUUCCUUAAACAUAGUUUCUAAUGCAUGGAUUGAUUCCUCAAACAUCAGUAACGGUCAACUACUGUCCAUCAGUAACGGUCGGUCGCUCUGCCGUCCGUUGCUAAUGUGAGCACAUCAGUAACGGUUGCGGAGCCUCCCGCCCGUUACUGAUGUGUGGGUGAUCAUCAGUAACGGUCGCGAGAUUACGCGACCGCCACUGAGGUGCUUCAGCAUAUAAAAGCGAGCGGCCGAAACCCUAGCCCUUUACUUCUCGCCUGCGCGUCGCUUUCCUCUAGCAGACCAGUAGUGGGCGCUCCUCCUCCCCGGGCGAGGCCCUGCCGGAUUUCCGCGCCGCCACCGCCGUCAACCUCCUCUGCGCCAAGCCCGACGCCGCCGUCAACCCCGCCUCCGCGCCGGACGCCUCCUCCCCCGAGCCCUCCUCCUCCGCGCCGAGCCCGAGCCCGCUGCCGCCGCCCCCGACGCCAUCCUCCUCCUCCUAUGCCUAGGUGCGCGCUCCUCUGCCUCCCUCUCCUCUGAUUUCCUAGUGCUAACCCUAAUUUGAUUUAGGUUAGUGUUAGAGUUAGAGUAAUUUAGGAUUAGUGUUAGCAAAUUAGUUGCUGUUGUUAGGGUUAGGGUUAGCCCUAGGAAAUUACAUGCUGGGAUAUACAUGUUAUCUUAUGAUUCGGUUGCUAUAUAAGUUGGGAUAUACAUGCUGGGAUAUAGAUGCUAUUUUAUGUGGGCCCGACCAUCGUGUCGGGUCAUUGGAGAAGGGGCCGGCAAUCGUGCCGAGGGGGUACAUAUGCGGGUGGGUUUUUUAUGCAGGUUUCGAACUCCUAGUAGAGAAAAUUUGCUAGUUUUUUAGCAUAGGUCAUGCCGAAAUUUUUGGCCGAUAUAUAUUUGAUGGUUUUGAUGGCAUAGGUAUGAAAUGGGCAAGAGGAGCAAAUUGCCAGCUCUGGCUCAGGUAGCUCUCGUUCAGAAGUGCACGACAACGAGCAACGGGUGGAAGAGAGUAACCCGCAGCCUUCUGAAACUCCCGCUAAGAAGCAAAGGAAGAAGACGCCGAGGGGGAGCCACAACGUGAAGGAGUUCUGUUACGUGGUCACCCGGCACUCUGACAGAGGCCGCCCGGAGUCGUCUGAGAGGGCACAGAAGGCCUUCGCAACGACCUAUGGAGUC